GGGGGGCAGGUACAUAGAGUUUGAUCCUGGCUCAAGAACUCGUAACAGGGUGACGCUUGAAUCAUGAUUUACAUUUGAGUGAGUGGCGAACUGGUGAGUAACACGUGGGAAACCUGCCCAGAAGCGGGGGAUAACACCUGGAAACAGAUGCUAAUACCGCAUAACAACUUGGACCGCAUGGUCCGAGUUUGAAAGAUGGCUUCGGCUAUCACUUUUGGAUGGUCCCGCGGCGUAUUAGCUAGAUGGUGAGGUAACGGCUCACCAUGGCAAUGAUACGUAGCCGACCUGAGAGGGUAAUCGGCCACAUUGGGACUGAGACACGGCCCAAACUCCUACGGGAGGCAGCAGUAGGGAAUCUUCCACAAUGGACGAAAGUCUGAUGGAGCAACGCCGCGUGAGUGAAGAAGGGUUUCGGCUCGUAAAACUCUGUUGUUAAAGAAGAACAUAUCUGAGAGUAACUGUUCAGGUAUUGACGGUAUUUAACCAGAAAGCCACGGCUAACUACGUGCCAGCAGCCGCGGUAAUACGUAGGUGGCAAGCGUUGUCCGGAUUUAUUGGGCGUAAAGCGAGCGCAGGCGGUUUUUUAAGUCUGAUGUGAAAGCCUUCGGCUCAACCGAAGAAGUGCAUCGGAAACUGGGAAACUUGAGUGCAGAAGAGGACAGUGGAACUCCAUGUGUAGCGGUGAAAUGCGUAGAUAUAUGGAAGAACACCAGUGGCGAAGGCGGCUGUCUGGUCUGUAACUGACGCUGAGGCUCGAAAGUAUGGGUAGCAAACAGGAUUAGAUACCCUGGUAGUCCAUACCGUAAACGAUGAAUGCUAAGUGUUGGAGGGUUUCCGCCCUUCAGUGCUGCAGCUAACGCAUUAAGCAUUCCGCCUGGGGGAGUACGGCCGCAAGGCUGAAACUCAAAGGAAUUGACGGGGGGCCCGCACAAGCGGUGGAGCAUGUGGUUUAAAUUCGAAGCUACGCGAAGAACCCUUACCAGGUCUUGACAUACUAUGCAAAUCUAAGAAGAUUAGACGUUUCCCUUCGGGGACAUGGAUACGAGGUGGUGCAUGGAUUGUCGUUCAGCUCGUGUCGUGAAAAUGUGGGUUAAGUCCCGCAACGAGCGCAACCCUUAAUUAUUCAUUGCCGCCAUUAAGGUUGGGCACUCUGGGUGAGACUGGCGGUGACAAACCGGAGGAAGGGUGGGGAUGACUUCAAAUCAUAUCAUGCCCUUAUAGUGACUUGGGCUACACACCGUGCUACGAUGGUAUGGUAACAGAAGGUGCGGAACUCUGCUGAGAGAGGAUAGCCUAGAUCUGACUC
rnacentral:rRNA from 1 species